GAUGAACGCUGGCGGCGUGCCUAAUACAUGCAAGUCGAGCGAACAGACGAGGAGCUUGCUCCUCUGACGUUAGCGGCGGACGGGUGAGUAACACGUGGAUAACCGACCUAUAAGACUGGGAUAACUUCGGGAAACCGGAGCUAAUACCGGAUAAUAUAUUGAACCGCAUGGUUCAAUAGUGAAAGACGGUUUUGCUGUCACUUAUAGAUGGAUCCGCGCCGCAUUAGCUAGUUGGUAAGGUAACGGCUUACCAAGGCAACGAUGCGUAGCCGACCUGAGAGGGUGAUCAGCCACACUGGAACUGAGACACGGUCCAGACUCCUACGGGAGGCAGCAGUAGGGAAUCUUCCGCAAUGGGCGAAAGCUUGACGGAGCAACGCCGCGUGAGUGAUGAAGGUCUUCGGAUCGUAAAACUCUGUUAUUAGGGAAGAACAAAUGUGUAAGUAACUAUGCACGUCUUGACGGUACCUAAUCAGAAAGCCACGGCUAACUACGUG
rnacentral:rRNA from 1 species